rnacentral:rRNA from 1 species
AUUGAACGCUGGCGGCAUGCCUUGCACAUGCAAGUCGAACGGUAACAGGUCUUCGGAUGCUGACGAGUGGCGAACGGGUGAGUAAUACAUCGGAACGUGCCUAGUAGUGGGGGAUAACUACUCGAAAGAGUGGCUAAUACCGCAUGAGAUCUACGGAUGAAAGCAGGGGAUCGCAAGACCUUGUGCUACUAGAGCGGCCGAUGGCAGAUUAGGUAGAUGGAGGGAUAAAAGCUUACCAAGCCGACGAUCUGUAGCUGGUCUGAGAGGACGAUCAGCCACACUGGGACUGAGACACGGCCCAGACUCCUACGGGAGGCAGCAGUGGGGAAUUUUGGACAAUGGGCGCAAGCCUGAUCCAGCAAUGCCGCGUGCAGGAUGAAGGCCUUCGGGUUGUAAACUGCUUUUGUACGGAACGAAAAGCCCCGGGUUAAUACCCUGGGGUCAUGACGGUACCGUAAGAAUAAGCACCGGCUAACUACGUGCCAGCCGCCGCGGUAA